AUCACUUCUGUGCUAACUGGUCACAUUGAUCAUCUCUCUCUCUCUCUCUCUCUCUCUCUCUCUCUCUCUCUCUCUUUCUCUCUCUCUUCCCCUCUCUCUCUCUCUCUUUCUCUCUCUCAAAUUUUAAUUCCAAUAGCUUCAUGACCAUUCAGUUAAAUGUCAAUAAACAAUAAACAACAAUCAAUAAUGGUGCAAACUGGUCACAUUGAUCAUCUCUCUCUCUCUCUCCCUCUCUCUCUCUCUCUUCCCCUCUCUCUCUCUCUUUCUCUCUCUCAAAUUUUAAUUCCAAUAGCUUCAUGACCAUUCAGUUAAAUGUCACACAAUAAACAAAAAAACAACAAUCAAUAAUUAAGCUAACUGGGAACGACCACACGAACAUGAACACACUUAGGUGGGAAUUCAUAUUCUACAUACAUAAGACAAGAAGGUCAUUGCAGGCGUUGACAAACUAAGAAGCCAGAGUCCAAGUACUAUGGUCAGGUUGUCCACACUAUUCAGCGAAUGGAAAUGUGAUACUAUAUUUAUUGUGUUUCACUUGAUUUUAGAUGUAUCCAGAAUUUUAUGGAUCUUUUUUUUUGUAUGUCAUAUUCCAAUGGGAAUCUGCCUAGUAAUCUCUCUCUCUCUCUAUCCCUCCCUCCCUCCCUUCCUCUCUCUCUCUACUCCGACCCCCUCUCUCCCCACAGUGGAGAUCCUAAAAGCCACUCUGUCCACUUGCUGUGACUCUCUCUCCAGCCCCUCUCAACAUCAGGCCCCCCCCUCGGUGGAGCUGACCCCCCCUGUUAGCCCCAAAGUGGGAGCGGAGAGGGAGGCGUCCCCUCCCGAGUCUGAGCCGUCCCCGCUGGACUCUUCCCCACGACAGGAGGACCCCUUCGGUCCCGACUCCCUUAGUCCACUCCAACUGGCCUCAGAUGACCCACUAAACAUGAACGUGAAGGUGUGUGAGGGUGUCCAGAGUCUGACCCAGUUACUCUAUAGUCUGCAGGUGAGCUCAUCAGGGUCUGUUGACUCAGGGUGUGUUGAGUGUGUGUGUGUGUGUGUGUAUGUGUGUGUCCUUGUUAUGUGUAUAUCUGCAUACUUUUCUAUGCAUCAUUUUGUAUGUGCCUUUGUCUCUGUGUUAAUAUGUGUAUAUAUGUGUAUGUGUGUGUGCUGA
rnacentral:lncRNA from 1 species